GAAUGCUGACAUAAGUAACGAUAAAGCGGGUGAAAAGCCCGCUCGCCGGAAGACCAAGGGUUCCUGUCCAACGUUAAUCGGGGCAGGGUGAGUCGACCCCUAAGGCGAGGCCGAAAGGCGUAGUCGAUGGGAAACAGGUUAAUAUUCCUGUACUUGGUGUUACUGCGAAGGGGGGACGGAGAAGGCUAUGUUAGCCGGGCGACGGUUGUCCCGGUUUAAGCAUGUAGGCGGAGGUUCCAGGUAAAUCCGGUACCUUUUAACGCUGAGGUGUGAUGACGAGGCACUACGGUGCUGAAGUAACAAAUGCCCUGCUUCCAGGAAAAGCCUCUAAGCAUCAGGUAACAU
rnacentral:rRNA from 1 species